CACCAAAGAAUUGCUAAUCCUACAUUCUGGAAAAGGAAACCAGAAGAAAAUUUGGAGUGUUGGACAAAAAAAAACACUGAUCACUAAUCACUCGUGGAGUCUCGCUGGCACAGAAGCAUGACGACGCAUCGCCGGAUGAUGUACAGCCUUGCCUUCUGCUCCUUCAACAUCCUGUUAAGGCCACAACCAUUCUUCAACAUCCUGGUAAGGCCGCAACCAUUCUUCCCUUGGCUCAUAGCCUUUUUCAUCCUGGUUGUGAAGUCACGGGGUGUUUCUCUCAAGGAACGGGCAGGUUGUGCUGAGUGCCUCUAUUCUUUUGCUACCAGCAUAAGUGUUUCUGCUUGAUUGGCAUG
rnacentral:lncRNA from 1 species